rnacentral:rRNA from 1 species
UACGUAGGGUGCGAGCGUUAAUCGGAAUUACUGGGCGUAAAGCGUGCGCAGGCGGUUUUGUAAGUCAGAUGUGAAAGCCCCGGGCUCAACCUGGGAAUUGCAUUUGAAACUACAAGGCUAGAGUGUGUCAGAGGGGGGUAGAAUUCCACGUGUAGCAGUGAAAUGCGUAGAGAUGUGGAGGAAUACCGAUGGCGAAGGCAGCCUUCUGGACGGAUACUGACGCUGAGGCGCGAAAGCCAGGGGAGCAAACGGG